rnacentral:misc_RNA from 1 species
UCCGAGUUUCUCUCGGCAGUCCCGUCUGAGAGAUACAACAGACGGCGAGGGUUGCGCUCGUUGCGGGACUUAACCCAACAUCUCACGACACGAGCUGACGACGGCCGUGCAACACCUUUGCAGGCUCCCUUACGGGUCCCUUGCCUUUCGGCUCGGUACCACCUGCAUGUCAAGCCUGGGUAAGGUUCUUCGCGUACCAUCGAAUUGAACCGCACGCUCCGCUGCUUGUGCGGGCCCCCGUCAAUUCCUUUGAGUUUUAACCUUGCGGUCGUACUCCCCAGGCGGGUCACUUAAUGCGUUAGCUACGGCACUGCCGGGGUCGAUACCGACAACACCUAGUGACCAUCGUUUACGGCUAGGACUAA